AGCAAAUGAGGCCUUUGGAGACUAAUUCCUUCUAAAAAGGAGGAAGAUGCCUUCCCAGAAGGGUGAUUUUGAAUUCUUGUGGUUUGGGCAGCAUAUAAAAUAGUUACUACACAGUCCUCAAGUGAGCAACACAGUGGUUGCCUCCAAAGCAGAACACCAAAUAUGUGCCAAGUGCUUCACAGACAGAGAUGAAGACUGGUUGCCUGCCCUGAACAGUUUACAGUCUUAAUGGACAACAUACAGUGACUGCACAUACUCCUGGAACCCAGAUUUAUUACAGGCUGAAGGAGAACAUUUCUGUGGGAGCCCCUUGAUUUAAAAUAUUAGCAACACAUCACUUGCCCCUGG